AUAAAAGCAAUGACAGGACUAGUAGAUAUGUUAAAUAUUUUAAAGAGAGUGGGGUAAGGUGAAAUCUCAUAAAUAUACAUAUCUAAGAUCAUCCUGGAGCUGUAGGCUGAAUAUAUUGUAAGCUGAUCCGGCUUGUAUAGGCCGUUAUAUGAAUCAAGUAAAAAUUGGGUGGUACCGCGACAGACUUUUUCGCCCCAGCG
rnacentral:ncRNA from 1 species